AAAAUUGCUACGAAACGCAAGAAAUUUUAUUUCCCUACGAAACAAUCAUAUUGCUGAGAAAGAUAAGGUAUAUAUGGUUAAAGUUGAAAAGUCCAAACAUUUGGCCCGAGUUAGUAGAGAUGGAGGAAAGGAGAUAAGGAAUGAGAAGAAGGCCAGACACGAGCGAAACGAUUGGCACGAUCGAAUCGUGUGAAUGUAGCUGUCGUCGAUAUACCCGUGCGUUUACGCUUUUAUCGCUUGGAAACCUUCUCGUCACGGGCAACGAUGCAUUUAUAUGCCAGCCUCGUUCAAAGGCAACGACAACCUAUGGAAAGAGACUGUCAGUUCCAAUGCAACAGAUAUAUCCGUUCUUUCCAGUUCUGGCAGGGAGAGAGAAGUCGUAAAAUGUUGUAUUUUCGAGGGAGGACUGUGACAUCAUAUGAAACGACACGUCGAGAUAUGCAUAUUGCGGCAAAUUUUUAACGUAACAGUGCAGUGUUGUGUAUUUUUUUAAAUAUCGCGAAUGAGAGAAUAAAGAGAGCGAUGAUGGCGUGAAAUGAACAUUGAUGUACUGUCCAACCAUAGGAUAAAAGGAAGAUCGUCCACGUGGAAAAUUGGGAAAUAGCGAGAGGUAAUGAUGGAUAGAGCGGAAGUUGGUCGCUUUGACCGUCACAUGGGCCGCGUUUUCGGUAGUGGAACAGGGACUCUGCCUAUGCCCAGAUGGCUGCUUUGAAUUCAAGGAAACGGAAACUUGGGGCUUGCCUACUCUGGUGCAUUAAUUAAAGCGCGCUUCGCUUUCAUGUCUGACACACCGGCGACGUUUGGGGACAGUUGUUGAACACUUUGAGAAACGCAGAUUGAAAAAGAGGAUACUCCAAGUAACUCCAAUAUCACGAAGAAUCCUAACCAAAAAAAAAAAAAAAAGAAAUCUUUAAAAGAAGACGAAAAAUAUGGAAGAAAGAAAAUAAUUCGGGAAAAACUAUUUUUCCCGAACUGUAUAACAACGUAACAAAGCCUUUCGCUCGUUAAAUCCCCUCCAUCUUUAAUGACAAUUUUCCUCGUUGCUUCGAGGUUAUGUCGCGAAGAAGCGCGAGAAAAUAUCAGAGCCACCACCCUAGGCCAGACGCGGAAGUGCGCACAACUGUUCACGCGGAAGCCAGACCUGUUCACGGCAAAGAAAUUUGUCAAUGAGGUGAUGUUGUACAAUAGAGGACAGGGUUCUGUAAGGCAGAAGUUCUGAAAUUUGACAAUAAAUGGCGGGCAAGAACAGUUUCUUUUAUAAAUCCAAGUUUCUUCUACUGUUACAGAAGCAAUGAUUUAUUUCAGGAACCUGAGGUAAGUUUGAAGAGUACAGAUGUUGAUAGAAAGAAGUUACCUAUUGUAAAAUUGAAUGAAAACUGCAAAUACACAAAGGGAGAGGCUGUAUAUUUUUUAUUUGAAAUAUUUAAAUAUGAAUGGUGAAAAAGAAGAAAAAUGUGCAAAAAAUAAGCAUCAUUUUUAAGAGUAUCUAUUUUGCAUUUAACUGCAUCUUAAUAAGUACUCCAUCAUAUUUGAAAUUACAUGUUACAUACAUGGCAAUGCAAUGCUUCAAAAUGAUCCAAGAUUCACUUUGUGCGGGUGAUAUAUGUAUUUGCUCGCAUUCCACGUGUCAGUUCAAUUAAGUCUCAUAUACAUCAAGAUCCUCGAUGCAUAACGAGAAUUCUAGGAAAAAAGAAAUGAAACAGUCGAGAAGAACACUUUCAUAUUAAAAAAAAAAAAAAUUUUCUUUUAAAGUAUAUAAAUUUAUAGAAUAAUAAACUUGAUUAAGUUAUAUAAAAUAUUUCUGUAUCCAUAAAUGAACAUUUCAAGUAACAACAUCCUGAUAAUUACAAUUAAUAAAAAGAAUCCAUUAAAAAUAUAAUAAAUUGUCGGAUCUCUUAAAGAUUUAAAGGUUUAGAUCAAAUUGUAUGAAACAUCCUGUGUCCACGAUAUUUAACUUUCAGUAACAAAAUCGGGCAAUUACAAUCGAUAAAAGAAUUCAUUAAAAAAAUUCAAUGAGUUGUCACAGUUCUUAAAAGCCGUUCAUUACUUGGCCAUAACGUGAAAUAUUUCGAGGACAUCCAGUUCAUUAAAAACGAGUUCUCGAUUCGUGAUAUUAAUUCUUCGCGAUGAUAAUUGAAGUAAGAAAGAAAACGACGAUUCACUUGGAGCAACUUAAUGCAAUGUGUUCAUUAAUGAGAAUCCAUACAUCACGCAUUAUGCAAGAUAUAUGAGUGUUGGCCACAGGCAUCGUUAAUUAACAGUUGAAUCAAAAUGAUCAUUCGAUGUGUAAUAGCAUCACAAUUAUUCACGUCGAUCGACACACUGCUGAUCACGUUAUACCCAUUGUCACUGCAUUUGACAGACGCGUCAAUCAAUUUAUAACACAGGCACGGAAGCUAUACGUCCCGUGCAUCCUGAAACAUGGCGAUCAACGGAAGCCCUCGAAAGUGAAAAAUCCCUUGAAAAAUAGAACGGCUGCCAGGAUGAUCCGUUGUAUAUUGGAGAUAGUUUGGCGAAAAUUGAAAUUUUUCAUCGCGCCGCUUGAACCAUUGUGCAGGGCAGCAAAGCAGAGUAAAUUUUAAGGAA